GACGAACCGUCCAAACGUUAUUCGGAAUCACUGGGCUUACAGAGUUCGUAGGCGGUCUGGUAAGUUGGGCGUGAAAUCCCUCGGCUCAACCGAGGAACUGCGCUUGAAACUACCAGACUCGAGGGAGAUAGAGGAAAGCGGAACUGAUGGUGGAGCGGUGAAAUGCGUUGAUAUCAGCAGGAACACCGGUGGCGAAGGCGGCUUUCUGGGUCUUACCUGACGCUGAGGAACGAAAGCCAGGGGAGCGAACGGG
rnacentral:rRNA from 1 species